AAAACUGUUACUCUGUUAUCAAAGGAUGGCAAGUCCCAUGAGUGAAUGACAAGCUUUAUAUUUCUUCAAUAGUUGAAGAGCUGUCAAGAUAAUGACGAUAAUCGAAGUGGCUCAUUACAACAGUGAGUCUGGUGUGCGUAUGCAUGCUUCUGAUCCUCGGUGUGCCAGAGAGCCAACCCAGUCACUGGACGCUAUUUCCUCAUCUAAAAACAAACAUGAAGUGGGGAGUGAAAAGACAAGG